UGACUCAGUUGGUAGAGCAUGGUGUUUGCAACGCCAGGGUUGUGGGUUUGAUUCCCAC
rfam:Salmo salar isolate Sally breed double haploid chromosome ssa10, whole genome shotgun sequence.